rnacentral:rRNA from 1 species
AUUGGCGGACGGGUGAGUAACACGUGGGAAUCUACCCAGCUCUACGGAAUAACCCAGGGAAACUUGGACUAAUACCGUAUACGUCCUUCGGGAGAAAGAUUUAUCGGAGUUGGAUGAGCCCGCGUCGGAUUAGCUAGUUGGUGAGGUAAUGGCUCACCAAGGCGACGAUCCGUAGCUGGUCUGAGAGGAUGAUCAGCCACGCUGGGACUGAGACACGGCCCAGACUCCUACGGGAGGCAGCAGUGGGGAAUAUUGGACAAUGGGCGAAAGCCUGAUCCAGCCAUGCCGCGUGAGUGAUGAAGGCCCUAGGGUUGUAAAGCUCUUUCACCGGGGAAGAUAAUGACGGUACCCGGAGAAGAAGCCCCGGCUAACUUCGUGCCAGCAGCCGCGGUAAUAAU